rnacentral:rRNA from 1 species
AUUGAACGCUGGCGGCAGGCCUAACACAUGCAAGUCGAACGGUAACAGGAAGCAGCUUGCUGCUUUGCUGACGAGUGGCGGACGGGUGAGUAAUGUCUGGGAAACUGCCCGAUGGAGGGGGAUAACUACUGGAAACGGUAGCUAAUACCGCGUAACGUCGCAAGACCAAAGAGGGGGACCUUAGGGCCUCUUGCCAUCGGAUGUGCCCAGAUGGGAUUAGCUAGUAGGUGGGGUAACGGCUCACCUAGGCGACGAUCCCUAGCUGGUCUGAGAGGAUGACCAGCCACACUGGAACUGAGACACGGUCCAGACUCCUACGGGAGGCAGCAGUGGGGAAUAUUGCACAAUGGGCGCAAGCCUGAUGCAGCCAUGCCGCGUGUAUGAAGAAGGCCUUCGGGUUGUAAAGUACUUUCAGCGGGGAGGAAGGGAGUAAAGUUAAUACCUUUGCUCAUUGACGUUACCCGCAGAAGAAGCACCGGCUAACUCCGUG